ensembl:lncRNA
UGAGGCGUAAAUAAUAUUGGCUAAACUGUUAGCACAUAUCUGCUGCCCCCCUUCGCUUCAGAUACCCUGCUUCCUUCAACCCUGUUUUCGCUCUCCCUCAGUACCGUUCCCCAUAGACUCCCUUCUGCUAUGCAAAGAGACCAGCCACACUGAAACUUCCAUCUACAUCAGCCCCCCCACCAAUGAUUUAGCAAAAAGUUCAACCUUGCUGGAUUAUAUGGCGGCCACACAAGAGCAACACCAUUUGAUACGUUGGUGUUCAAAAGGGAUUUAAAAGAAACAACAACAAACAAGAUCACAGAGAAAUCUGGCUACCCCUCACCUGAUUUGCUGAAGUAACCUUAAUUUCAACAUGGACGAGGCUGCAUCACAAGGCGCAGAAGCAGAGUCUACGAAACAACCCCCCAAGCAAGGCAACGGUUUCCCGAAAAUCCAACUCAAGCCGGUACAAUGGGUUAUAGCCAUCGUUCUCGUCCUGUCCUGGUCUGCGGUCGGUGCAUAUUUGUUCGACUUUGUUGAUGACAAACAAAUAGCCGCUAUUCAGGAAGUGAGCAUGGAUCCCAUGGCAGCAGCAAACAUGGCUGUAGAGGGAAUAAAACACAGCGCAGACAAGUUGGUGGCCGAAGUGUCUGAUGCUGUUUACAAUGCUCCAGAGAAUAUAUGUAACUCGGAAUACCUAAAGUCAAGUGGUCUCCUAAUGGAGGAUAUACGAGAAGGAAUAAAGGGGGUUGUCGUUGACGUAUUUGACAUCUUUGAAGGAACAAUACACACAGUGACCUACUAUCCAGACAUGAUGUUAACUGGAACAGUGGAUGCAAUCAGAUAUGUGACAAGCAUGAUGAAAGGAACACUCGAUGCUGUGGCCUUCUUUCCUCACAAGAUUUUGACUGGAGCAGCUGAUGGAUUCAAAUAUGUGACAAGUGUGGUGUCUGUGCCAAGCUUCCUCGCUCUCCCUACAGAGUGGAUAUCGGAGCUCAAUCUUAAUCCAAUGGAUGCCAUCAUGCAAGCAACUGAAGAAAUCACAAACCUGAACAAGGAUGCCUUUGACUCUGUGUCAAGCAUGUUCAAGGGCAGUGAAGAUGAGACACCACCCAUGACCAGGAGGAAAGGGGAGUUUUUGCCUCCAAUGGAAAAAGUUCUUGAACAAGAGAAGGUAUCCAAGCAGCAGAAGACCAGAGAAGAAGUAUACAAAAUCAUUCAAGACCUAAAAGCCACAAAAGCUGAAAAAGAGGCAGUAAAGUUCAAACUUGAAGCCAGAAAGGAAGAGGAGGAAGAGGAGAAGAAGGAUAAAGAACCUGCACCUCCACCUGUACCUGUGAAGGAAAAAGAUAAACCAGAACCUGUAAAAGAAGAACCUAAGCCUGCAUCGGUAAAGGAAAAAGCUAAGCCAGAGCCUGCAUCGGUAAAGGUGCAAGCUAAGCCAGAGCCUGCAUCGGUAAAGGAAAAAGCUAAGCCAGAGCCUGCAUCGGUAAAGGAAAAAGCUAAGCCAGAGCCUGCAUCGGUAAAGGUGCAAGCUAAGCCAGAGCCUGCAUCGGUAAAGGAAAAAGCUAAGCCAGAGCCUGCAUCUGUAAAAGAAGAACCUAAGCCAGAGCCUGCAUCGGUAAAGGUGCAAGCUAAGCCAGAGCCUGCAUCGGUAAAGGUAAAAGCUAAGCCAGAGCCUGCAUCGGUAAAGGAAAAAGCUAAGCCAAAAUCUGAAAAAGAGAAACCUAAGCAAGAACCCAUUACGGAGAAGACUAAGCCAGAACCAGAAAAGCAGAAAGCCAAGCUAGAAUCCGUAAAGGAGAAGGCUAAACCAGAACCUACUACCGAUAAGGAAGAAGCUAUGGUAGAAUUCAAGGAGGAGAAACCUAGGCCAGAAUCUCCUAAGGACAAGGCCAAACCAAAGCCCAUUGCAGAGAAGGCAAAGCCAGAGCCCAAAAAGGAGAGAGCUAAGGAAGAACUUGUAAAAGAGAAGGCUACACCAGAACCUGUGAAGGAGAAAGCUGAGCCUAAGCCCAAAAAGGAAGAACUUAAGCUUGAACCUGGAAAGGAAACCGCUAAGAAAAUAACUGUAAAAGAAACUGCAAAGCCAGUGCCCACAAGGGAGGAGGUUAAGCCAGAACCAGUGAAGGAGAAAAUGAAGACCCUGAAAGAAAAGGCUAAGAAAGAAGCUCUGAAGGAGAAAACUGAGCCAGAACCAGCAGUAGAGAAGACUAAACCAGAACCUGCACCUGCAAAAGAAAAAGCUAAGCCAGUACCCAUGAAGGAGAAAGCUGAGGCAGAACCUGUGAAGGACAAAGCUAAAAAAGAACCUGCUAAAGAGAAGGUAAAGCCAGAAGCUGUUAAGGAAAAAGCUAAACCAGAAACCAUGAAGGAGAAAGCAAAGCCUGAGCCUGUAAAGGAAAAAGCCAAGCCAGAGCCUGCUAAGGAGAAAGUUAAGCCAGAGCUCCCUAAAGCGAAAGCUAGACCAGAACCAACUAAAGAAAAAGCUAAGCCUGUUCCUGUGAAGGAGGAAGACAAGGCUGCACCUUUGAAAGAAAAAGCUAAGCCUGUACCUGUGAAGGAGGAAGAUAAGGCUGCACCUUUGAAAGAAAAGGCUAAGCCUGUACCUGUGAAGGAGGAAGACAAGGCUGCACCUUUGAAAGAAAAAGCUAAGCCUGUACCUGUGAAGGAGGAAGACAAGGCUGCACCUUUGAAAGAAAAGGCUAAGCCUGUACCUGUGAAGGAGGAAGA